rnacentral:rRNA from 1 species
UCCAGACUCCUACGGGAGGCAGCAGUGAGGAAUAUUGGUCAAUGGGCGGGAGACUGAACCAGCCAAGCCGCGUGAGGGAUGAAGGUACAGAGUAUCGUAAACCUCUUUUGUCAGGGAACAAAGGCGGGGACGUGUCCCCGGAUGAGCGUACCUGAAGAAAAAGCCUCGGCCAACUCCGUGCCAGCAGCCGCCGUAAUACGGAGGAUGCGAGCGUUAUCCGGAUUUAUUGGGUUUAAAGGGUGCGUAGGCGGGCCGUUAAGUCAGCGGUAAAAUCGGGGGGCUCAACCCCGUCGUGCCGUUGAAACUGGCAGUCUUGAGUUGGCGAGAAGUACGCGGAAUGCGCGGUGUAGCGGUGAAAUGCAUAGAUAUCACGCAGAACUCCGAUUGCGAAGGCAGCGUACCGGCGCCCAACUGACGCUCAUGCACGAAAGCGUGGGUAUCGAACAGGAUUAGAUACCCUCGUAA